rnacentral:sRNA from 1 species
ACAGAGAGAACUCUGGCGAGCUGAGCCGGCCGGUUGACCUCCCAGUCUUUCUGCGGCGCCAGACGGAU